rnacentral:rRNA from 1 species
GACGAACGCUGGCGGCGUGCCUAAUACAUGCAAGUCGAGCGGACAGAAGGGAGCUUGCUCCCGGAAGUUAGCGGCGGACGGGUGAGUAACACGUGGGCAACCUACCCUGUAGAUCGCGAUAACAUCGAGAAAUCGGUGCUAAUACCGGAUAAUCAUUUGAAGUGCAUGCUUCGAAUGUAAAAGAUGGCUCCGGCUAUCACUACGGGAUGGGCCCGCGGCGCAUUAGGUAGUUGGUAAGGUAAUGGCUUACCAAGGCAACGAUGCGUAGCCGACCUGAGAGGGUGAUCGGCCACACUGGGACUGAGACACGGCCCAGACUCCUACGGGAGGCAGCAGUAGGGAAUCUUCCGCAAUGGACGAAAGUCUGACGGAGCAACGCCGCGUGAGUGAUGAAGGUUUUCGGAUCGUAAAGCUCUGUUGUUAGGGAAGAACAAGUGCCGUUUGAAUAAGGCGGCACCUUGACGGUACCUAACCAGAAAGCCACGGCUAACUCCGUGCCAGCCGCCGCGGUAAAAC